rnacentral:rRNA from 1 species
CCUACGGGGGGCUGCAGUGGGGAAUAUUGGACAAUGGGCGAAAGCCUGAUCCAGCCAUGCCGCGUGUGUGAAGAAGGCCUUCGGGUUGUAAAGCACUUUCAGUGGGGAAGAAAGCCUUGGGGCUAAUACCCUCGAGGAAGGACAUCACCCACAGAAGAAGCACCGGCUAACUCCGUGCCAGCAGCCGCGGUAAUACGGAGGGUGCGAGCGUUAAUCGGAAUUACUGGGCGUAAAGCGCGCGUAGGCGGUCUGAUAAGCCGGUUGUGAAAGCCCCGGGCUCAACCUGGGAACGGCAUCCGGAACUGUCAGGCUAGAGUGCAGGAGAGGAAGGUAGAAUUCCCAGUGUAGCGGUGAAAUGCGUAGAGAUCGGGAGGAAUACCAGUGGCGAAGGCGGCCUUCUGGACUGACACUGACGCUGAGGUGCGAAAGCGUGGGUAGCAAACAGGAUUAGAUACCCCUGUAGUC